CGAACGCUGGCGGCAGGCCUAAUACAUGCAAGUCGAACGGCUCUUCGGAGCAGUGGCGGACGGGUGAGUAACGCGUGGGAAUGUGCCCUUAGGUACGGAACAACACAGGGAAACUUGUGCUAAUACCGUAUGUGCCCUUCGGGGGAAAGAUUUAUCGCCUUUGGAGCAGCCCGCGUUGGAUUAGGUAGUUGGUGAGGUAAAGGCUCACCAAGCCGACGAUCCAUAGCUGGUCUGAGAGGAUGACCAGCCACACUGGGACUGAGACACGGCCCAGACUCCGACGGGAGGCAGCAGUAGGGAAUCUUGCGCAAUGGGCGAAAGCCUGACGCAGCCAUGCCGCGUGUAGGAUGAAGGUCUUAGGGUUGUAAAGUUCUUUUGCCCGUGACGAUGAUGACGGUAACAGGAGAAUAAGCUCCGGCUAACUUCGUGCCAGCAGCCGCCGUAAUAC
rnacentral:rRNA from 1 species